AUUGAACGCUGGCGGCAGGCUUAACACAUGCAAGUCGAGCGGAGAUGAGGUGCUUGCACCUUAUCUUAGCGGCGGACGGGUGAGUAAUGCUUAGGAAUCUGCCUAUUAGUGGGGGACAACAUUCCGAAAGGAAUGCUAAUACCGAAUACGUCCUACGGGAGAAAGCAGGGGAUCUUCGGACCUUGCGCUAAUAGAUGAGCCUCAGUCGGAUUAGCUAGUUGGUGGGGUAAAGGCCUACCAAGGCGACGAUGUGUAGCGGGUCUGAGAGGAUGAUCCGCCACACUGGGACUGAGACACGGCCCAGACUCCUACGGGAGGCAGCAGUGGGGAAUAUUGGACAAUGGGCGGAAGCCUGAUCCAGCCAUGCCGCGUGUGUGAAGAAGGCCUUUUGGUUGUAAAGCACUUUAAGCGAGGAGGAGGCUACCUAGAUUAAUACUCUGGGAUAGUGGACGUUACUCGCAGAAUAAGCACCGGCUAACUCUGUGCCAGCCGCCGCCGUAACAC
rnacentral:rRNA from 1 species